UACGAAGGGUGCAAGCGUUAAUCGGAAUUACUGGGCGUAAAGCGUGCGUAGGUGGUUUGUUAAGUCUGCUGUGAAAGCCCUGGGCUCAACCUGGGAAUGGCGGUGGAUGCUGACAGGCUAGAGUGCGGUAGAGGAGGGUGGAAUUCCCGGUGUAGCGGUGAAAUGCGUAGAGAUCGGGAGGAACACCGGUGGCGAAGGCGGCAUCCUGGACCAACACUGACACUGAGGAGCGAAAGCCAGGGGAGCAAACGGG
rnacentral:rRNA from 1 species